ACAAAAACAUGUCCUUUUGAUAAUAAUUUAAGGUCUAAUCUGCCCACUGAGGAGUUAAAUGGCCGCGGUAUUUUGACCGUGCAAAGGUAGCAUAAUCAUUAGUUUCUUAAUUAGAAGCUGGAAUGAAUGAUUGGAUGAGAAAAUAACUGUCUCAAAUUAAUUUAUUUUGAAUUUUAUAUUUAAGUUAAAAAGCUUAAAUUUAAUUAAAAGACGAGAAGACCCUAUAGAGUUUAAUUUUUAAAUUAAAUUUUAAAUUAUUGAUUUUAUUGUUGAAGUUUAUUUUGAAAAUUUUGUUGGGGUGAUAGAAAAAUUUAAUUAACUUUUUUUAAAUAUUUACAUUAAUUAAUGAAUAAUUGAUCCAAAAUUUUUGAUUAAAAGAAUAAAUUACCUUAGGGAUAACAGCGUAAUUUUUUUUAAGAGUUCAUAUCGAAAAAAAAGAUUGCGACCUCGAUGUUGGAUUAAAAUUAAUUUUUGGUGUAGAAGCUAAAAAAUUAGGUCUGUUCGACCUUUAAAAUUUUACAUGAUCUGAGUUCA
rnacentral:rRNA from 1 species